rnacentral:rRNA from 1 species
AUUGAACGCUGGCGGCAUGCUUUACACAUGCAAGUCGAACGGUAACAGGUUAAGCUGACGAGUGGCGAACGGGUGAGUAAUGCAUCGGAACGUGCCCGAUCGUGGGGGAUAACGCAGCGAAAGCUGCGCUAAUACCGCAUACGAUCUGAGGAUGAAAGCGGGGGACCGUAAGGCCUCGCGCGAUCGGAGCGGCCGAUGUCAGAUUAGGUAGUUGGUGGGGUAAAGGCCCACCAAGCCGACGAUCUGUAGCUGGGCUGAGAGGACGACCAGCCACAUGGGGACGGAGACACGGCCAAGACUCCUACGGGAGGCAGCAGUGGGGAAUUUUGGAAAAUGGGCGAAAGCCUGAUCCAGCAAUGCCGCGUGCAGGAAGAAGGCCUUGGGGUUGUAAACUGCUUUUGUACGGAGCGAAAAGGUCCUUUCUAAUACAGGGGGCUCAUGACGGUACCGUAAGAAUAAGCACCGGCUAACUACGUGCCAGCAGCCGCCGCCG